GAUGAAGAACUUAGCGAAAUGCGAUAAGUAAUGUGAAUUGCAGAAUUCAGUGAAUCAUCGAAUCUUUGAACGCACCUUGCACCCUUUGGCAUUCCGAAGGGUAUGCUCGUUUGAGUGUCAUUGUACUCUCACACUCUCCGAUCCUAUGGAUUCGGGGAGCGGUGGACUUGGGUGUUGCUGCCUUUCCUUGUGGCUCACCUCAAAUGUGUCAGUGCACCUCUUGGUUGGACAUAGUACGGCGUGAUAAGUGUCUUCGCCGGCACCUCGCAAGAGGGUGGCCGAUCGGGAGCUCUGUGCUUUCAAACCGUCUUCGGACAAUUUCUGACAACUUGACCUCAAAUCGAGUAGGACUACCCGCUGAACUUAAGCAUAUCAAUAAGCGGAGGA
rnacentral:misc_RNA from 1 species